GUUUCGACGACGAUGCGCGGGGGCUGCGCAGAUCGACGGCGAGUGGCCCGACCUGGCGGGCGCAACGCAGCGGGGGGCGUCGCUGCUGCUGCGGCUUUGGCAUUUUGUCAAACACGGCGCAAGCACGACAGCGCAGGGAGUACACUAUUGUCGUUUGGCGGGGUUGAGGAGUAUGGGAUGGCUCUGGGGAGGGAGCUCCUUGCUGCAGGCAUGCAUGGGAGAGGGACACCUGCACUUGGGGAGGGCGCUGGCUGGGAGAGGGGGCUCGGCCAUGGAAAGACCAGAGAAAGAGGAGGGUGAUGUGCUGCUGUUGGGCGCCGG
rnacentral:misc_RNA from 1 species